ensembl:misc_RNA Metazoa_SRP Metazoan signal recognition particle RNA
GCCAGGCAUGGCGGUGCAUGCCUGCAGUCCAAGCUACGUGGGAGGCUGAGGUGGGAGGAUUGCUUGAGCCCAGGAGUUCAAGACUGCAGUGUGCUAUGAUUGUGCUUCACACUCUAGCCUGGGCUAUAGAGUAAGACCCUGUCUCAG